CUCAUAAAUGCCAGAUCAUGGGUGGGAUUACUGUUCAGCAACAUCCAAGGCCAGGGGAGGAGAUGGGGUCCCAGGCUCAGCUCCUCUGCUCUCUGUUGCUCUGGAUCUCAGGUUCCAGGGGGGCCAUUGUGGUGACUCAGUCUCCAGAAUUUUUGUCAGUGUCUCCAGGAGAGAGGGUCACCAUUAGCUGCAAGACCAGCUCGGGUGUUAGUAAUUACUUAAGUUGGUACCAACAGAAGCCAGGGGAGGCUCCCAAGCUCCUAAUUUAUUAUACAAACAAGCUGCACUCCGGGGUCCCUGCCCGGUUCAGUGGCAGUGGCUCUGGGACAGAUUACUCCUUCACAAUCAGUAACGUGGAGGCUGAGGAUGCUGCAGUCUAUUACUGUCAGCAGGA